AUACAUGUAAAAACAUUGACUCAGCACGCUUGCAACAGGAGCUGUGCAGGACGCUUCAUGAGCACAUAGACAGAAAAUGAGACGGGUGACAAAAUGCCGGCAGGGGAAAGCUAAGCGAGAGAGAAAGAAGGGAUUGAUGAGAAAUGACAGCAUAGACUCGGGCCGGCCCAACAUGGGCCAAAUAAAGGCAAACGUGGAUAUUAGCAGGAAGCUCAGACAGAUCUCUAUGAGUCCUUUCUCUGGCUGUGAGGUGGAUCCAAACCUUCACUGUGCCUUGUGCAAAAUGUUCCGGAAACAAUCAGUCUGCCUGUGGGCUGGUUGGCCGGACACCCUUUAAGAAGCUCAUUUGAGUGCAGGGAUGAAGCGGAAUGAAGCCACAAGCUCACCUGGGUGAUUUGGAAACCUGGCUAAAACCAUGGAGGCGGUGUGAUAAAUGUGGUGGACCCGUUGACCUCGCUGCAGACAAGACCAAAGGCAAAAGAUCCCCCAAAACAAACAGGAACUGAAGAUCUCUGUCAUUCAGCCCUGACCAGCAUGACCAGGGAAGAUAUGCAGAAUCUGGUGACAUGUAUGGAGGCCAGACUUAAGGCAGUCAUUGAAUCCAAAGGACUUGCAACCAAGUAUUAAAUAUGAUGACUUCAUUUAAGAUUAUCUUAAUUUGUCAGAUUAUGCUUGAGAGCUGCAAUUCCGACAUGGAGCAUCCUAUAUGAAUGCCUACAUAUUUAAGCACAGUCAACACUUUAACCUCAUAUUAAUAAUUUCAUUUGAAAACCAUACAUAUAUAUAUAUAUAUAUAUAUAUAUAUAUGGAACACUUCUGGGAGAAUCUGCUGUCCUCUUGGUUCCAUAGGCAUCUCAUGCAAUCAGUUUGGACAUACAUUAGGCUACUCUUUGUGUUCCCUUUCUUUGUCUUAGACUCUGUUAGGUUGUACAGAAGCUCAUUUAAGUGAAGGGGAUGAAGUCAGUUGAAGGUAAAACAACUUUUACACUCACUGUGUCUAUCUAAUGAUAAUGACAUGACCCUGAUUUCAGAUGUGCUUCUCCACAUUUAGAAUAUGCUUUUGAGGAAUUGUCCCUCUGAAUCGCCUGAAACAAACAAGAACUGAAGACUGCUGUACAGCGUCUUCAACCAAGUAUUAAAUAUGAUGACUAAAUAUGAUGACAUAUGAUAUUUACGAUUAUGUUAAUUUGUCAGAUUGCAUUUGAUAUCCCCCAAAAUGGGGGACUAUGUAUAAACAGAGCUGCAAUUCCUACAUGGAUCAUGUAACUACCUACAAAUGAAAGAGUCAGCACUUUAACCUCAUAUUCUUUUUUUCAUUUGAAAUCCAUAUCCGUAUCAUAUAUGUAUCA